rnacentral:rRNA from 1 species
AACGUAGGAGACAAACGUUAUCCGGAGUUACUGGGCGUAAAGGGCGUGCAGGCGGUCGACUAAGUCUGGCGUGAAAGCUCUCGGCUAAACCGGGAGAGGUCGUUGGAUACUGGUUGACUAGAGGACGGUAGAGGCGUGUGGAAUUCCGGGUGUAGUGGUGAAAUGCGUAGAGAUCCGGAGGAACACCGAUGGCGAAGGCAAUCCCCUGGACCUGUACUGACGCUCAUGCACGAAAGCGUGGGGAGCAAACAGG